rnacentral:rRNA from 1 species
AGCGAACGCUGGCGGCAGGCUUAACACAUGCAAGUCGAGCGGGCGUAGCAAUACGUCAGCGGCAGACGGGUGGGUAACGCGUGGGAACGUACCUUUUGGUUCGGAACAACACAGGGAAACUUGUGCUAAUACCGGAUAAGCCCUUACGGGGAAAGAUUUAUCGCCGAAAGAUCGGCCCGCGUCUGAUUAGCUAGUUGGUGAGGUAACGGCUCACCAAGGCGACGAUCAGUAGCUGGUCGGAGAGGAUGAUCAGCCACAUCGGGACUGAGACACGGCCCAAACUCCUACGGGAUGCAGCAGUGGGUAAUAUUGGACAACGGGGUCAACCCUGAUCCAGCCAUGCCGCGUAAGUGAUGAAGGCCCUAGGGUUGUAAAGCUCUUUUGUGCGGGAAGAUAAUGACGGUACCGCAAGAAUAAGCCCCGGCUAACUUCGUG